rnacentral:rRNA from 1 species
UACGUAGGGGGCAAGCGUUGUCCGGAUUUAUUGGGCGUAAAGAGCUCGUAGGCGGCUUGUCGCGUCGACUGUGAAAACUUGGGGCUUAACCCUGAGCUUGCGGUCGAUACGGGCAUGACUGGAGUUCGGUAGGGGAGACUGGAAUUCCUGGUGUAGCGGUGAAAUGCGCAGAUAUCAGGAGGAACACCGGUGGCGAAGGCGGGUCUCUGGGCCGAUACUGACGCCGAGGAGCGAAAGCGUGGGGAGCGAACAGG